GUUAAGGUGGCAGAAUUCGGCCAUUGCAAAAGACCUAAGCCCUUUCCAUAGAGGUUCAAAUCCUCUCCUCAACU
rnacentral:tRNA from 1 species